AUGAUUUUGAAUUAUAAUGAUUCCUAUAUCUGUUAUCUGCUUCUUCUAGACUGUAUGAAUUCAGGAACUACUGAAUAUUAUCUUAACGUUUUGUCCCACUACUACUCAAGACAGUCAUCUGCACAAGGAGGAGAAGAGCACAGACUGAGGAAACUCUGGCUAAGAGGUUGAAUAAAUAAUCACCAGCCUGGAACUACAGCAACAGACUCUAUGAUUUCAGGGCGGAUGGUUAGAAGACAACAUCUGAGCAACAAAUUUAUUCUUUGCAGCAUCGGAUCCCUCUGGCAAAAUUUAAGGUAGUCCAUAAUUUAAUCAAGCAAAAUUAAUUCGACACUCACCAUGACCGCAGAAACAAAAAACAGACAACUGUAAUUUACGCCACAGGGUCACAUGAUAGAUAGAGUCACAUGACACCCAUUUGAGGAUGGCUGAACCCACUCAGGCUUAAGUUAGUCAUACUGAAAGGGAGAUGAACUUGUUGACUCUUAAAAAUUUACUGCUACAUGUUAUUUCUAUAAAACUGCUCUCUGUAGACAUCUUAGAUGGCGUCAGCAUUUCACCAUCCACUAUUUCUAGGAGGCUGUCUUAGUAGUAAUAACAAUACAAUCUCUCGAAAUUAUUUGAAAUUUGCCUUUUCAGAAGUUAGAGUACUGAACCCGGCUGGAAUCGGGAAGCCUUGAGUUUGAGUGGGAAUCCAUCCAAUAUGACCCUGGGCAAGUCACUCACCUCUCUCAGACUGUUUCCUUAUUUGUAAAAUGGAGAUAAUAAUAGCACCUACGUCA
rnacentral:lncRNA from 1 species